UACGUAGGGGGCAAGCGUUGUCCGGAAUCAUUGGGCGUAAAGAGCGUGUAGGCGGCCCGAUAAGUCCGCUGUGAAAGUCCAGGGCUCAACCCUGGGAUGCCGGUGGAUACUGUCGGGCUCGAGUCCGGAAGAGGAGUGUGGAAUUCCUGGUGUAGCGGUGAAAUGCGCAGAUAUCAGGAGGAACACCAAUGGCGAAGGCAGCUCGCUGGGACGUUACUGACGCUGGAGACGCGAAAGCGUGGGGAGCAAACAGG
rnacentral:rRNA from 1 species